AGGAGGGAACAUAUAAUUAGAGUAGAAAGAACUAGGAGAAUAUCAUACACGUGGAAUAGAAAUUUCUGAUAUUUUAAAUGCAACUCAGUGUGAAAUGUUAUUGAAUUGGAAUAAUGAAUUACAGUGUGCGAAUAAUUUUAAAUUUAUAAGGUUUGGCGAGAAAGAUUUAAAGAAAGUAUUAGAGCUAAGAAAAAGAAUGAAAAUAAGCCAUAUUAGACUAUCCAAAUCUCUAUUAGCUAUGCCUGUAAACAAGAAGAAUUUAUUCAGCAAGCCAAUUGAUUCAGAUGAAAAUAGUGUAAUGGAAAUAGAAUAAAUUCUGUAGAUAU